UACGGAGGGUGCGAGCGUUAAUCGGAAUUACUGGGCGUAAAGCGUGCGCAGGCGGUCUUGUAAGACAGUCGUGAAAUCCCUGGGCUUAACCUAGGAACUGCGAUUGUGACUGCAAGGCUAGAGUGUGUCAGAGGGGGGUGGAAUUCCACGUGUAGCAGUGAAAUGCGUAGAGAUGUGGAGGAACACCGAUGGCGAAGGCAGCCCCCUGGGAUAACACUGACGCUCAUGCACGAAAGCGUGGGGAGCAAACAGG
rnacentral:rRNA from 1 species